rnacentral:rRNA from 1 species
GGAAACUGUUUGRCUUAGCUAAACCGUAUUGUAGACUGUAGAAACAUUUUCCUGGCACACCAGAUUAAUAAGUCCUUUGGAACAAGGCAUCAUGGAGGGUGAGAAUCCCGUCUUUGAUCUGAGUAGUUGUCUUUUGUGAUAUGUUUUCAAAGAGUCAGGUUGUUUGGGAAUGCAGCCUAAAUUGGGUGGUAAAUCUCACCUAAAGCUAAAUAUUUGCGAGAGACCGAUAGCGAACAAGUACCGUGAGGGAAAGAUGAAAAGAACUUUGAAAAGAGAGUUAAACAGUAUGUGAAAUUGUUAAAAGGGAACCGUUUGGAGCCAGACUGGUUUGCCUGUAAUCAACCUAGAAUUCGUUUUGGGUGCACUUGCAGGCUAUACCUGCCAACAACAGUUUGAUUUGGAGGAAAAAAUUANUAGGAAUGUAGCCUCGCGAGGUGUUAUAGCCUACUAUCAUACUCUGGAUUGGACUGAGGAACGCAGCGAAUGCCUUUAGGCAAGAUUGCUGGGUGCUUUCGCUAAUAAAUGUUAGAAUUUCUGCUUCGGGUGGUGCUAAUGUUUAAAGGAGGAACACCUCUAGUAUAUUUUUUAUUCGCUUANGUUGGUGGGUUAAUGA